rnacentral:rRNA from 1 species
UACGGAGGGUGCGAGCGUUGUCCGGAAUCAUUGGGCGUAAAGGGCGCGUAGGUGGCGGGACAAGCGUGCGGUGAAAGCCUGGGGCUCAACCCCGGGUCGGCCGUGCGAACUGUUUUGCUUGAGCACUGUAGAGGCAGGCGGAAUUCCGGGUGUAGCGGUGGAAUGCGUAGAGAUCGGGAAGAACACCAGUGGCGAAGGCGGUCUGCUGGGCCGUUGCUGACGCUGAGGCGCGACAGCGUGGGGAGCAAACAGG